GGCUAAAAGUAAUUAGAAUAAAUUUCAACAGUAGACUAAGUAAUUCCAUCGUCAGUCCUCACGCCCAAAUAUAGAAAGGCAAACAACGUAGAGUUACUUAUGUCAUGCAAAAUCUAAAUUAACAAAUUGGAGUUCCACAAAAUUCUCAUUUAUUUAACAAGUACAAUAAAAUUACAAACAUUGGCAUAGAAUUGUAAGGGGAACUCAACGAAUUCACAAGUACACAAUAUUAAUGCCUUGAGUGAAACACUUUUGUUGAUGACUUAGGUAGGGGCCGCGCGAACGCAGGCCCCCACUGCCACAAAUUAUGACGUAGGCUCGACCACUAGGGCCAACCUUAGGCGGGCACCCCUCCAAAGUGCAAUGGAGGUCACCAACCUAGGCCAUGGCUCUUAUUGAUCGCCCAUUGACCCUGUCCAGGUAAGUAUGUUCCCUUGAUGCUCCUCCCUAUGAUUUUAUAUCCCUCCAGCUCUUGGUUUUCCUUUGUGUUAGCCGAUAUGGGACAUCUUGUGCCUAAGCUAUCUUCUCUUUGAAUAGGAUAAGCAGUGUUUAGAUCCUAGUGAUACAAACUCAGUUCUUUUAAGUCCUCUAUUGCCAUUAUACUAACCAGUUUGGUGUAGCUAAUCUAUCUUUCAUACCAGAUGUCAAAACUUAUGGAAUUAUAGCAUUUGGUGCAAUCCCCUAACCAC
rnacentral:lncRNA from 1 species